AACGAACGCUGGCGGCAUGCCUAACACAUGCAAGUCGAACGAGACCUUCGGGUCUAGUGGCGCACGGGUGCGUAACGCGUGGGAACCUGCCCUUAGGUUCGGAAUAACUCCUCGAAAGGGGUGCUAAUACCGGAUAAUGUCUUCGGACCACAGAUUUAUCGCCUUUGGAUGGGCCCGCGUUGGAUUAGCUAGUUGGUAGUGUAAAAGCCUACCAAGGCGACGAUCCAUAGCUGGUCUGAGAGGAUGAUCAGCCACACUGGGACUGAGACACGGCCCAGACUCCUACGGGAGGCAGCAGUGGGGAAUAUUGGACAAUGGGCGAAAGCCUGAUCCAGCAAUGCCGCGUGAGUGAUGAAGGCCUUAGGGUUGUAAAGCUCUUUUACCCGGGAUGAUAAUGACAGUACCGGGAGAAUAAGCUCCGGCUAACUCCGUG
rnacentral:rRNA from 1 species